GUUGUUGUGGCCAAGAGGUUAAGGCGAUGGACUUAAAAUCCAUUGGGGUUCCCCCGCGCAGGUUCCAAUCCUGCCAGCAACG